UUGAAACCCAACAUCAGGAUGCGUCAUGACGUUUGAUGAGUACCUGGAUAGGGUCGAGAUGACAAAGUGAUAGAUUAAGCUAGGAUCAGAAUGAUAAGACUAGCGAGACAAGUCUCACAUCGCCUAAUGAUCUUCGGCUGUGUGUGUUUAAGGCUGACGAGGACAUCAGGGCCUAAAUGGCUGACGAGAACAUCAGGGCCUAAAUGGAGGGAGUAUGUGAUCUUGGGCGGGAGAGUGUGUGACACCCCAAUAGUCCCACAUCGGAAGGAAAUAGUAUUAUUAUUGGGUUUAUAUAUGAGACUAUGGAUACUAGUAAUAAUAACUGGAAUUAAAUAUUUUGGGCUAGUGGUUUGAGCCCAACGAAUUAUUAUUGCUAGCGAGUUUCAGUCGUUACAGUUUGUAUUUAGAAAAGUUAAACCAAAUUUCUUAU
rnacentral:lncRNA from 1 species